GACGUAGGAGGCGAGCGUUGUCCGGAUUCAUUGGGCGUAAAGAGCGCGCAGGCGGCUUGGUAAGUCGGAUGUGAAAACCCGAGGCUCAACCUUGGGCGUGCAUCCGAUACUGCUCGGCUAGAGGUAGGUAGGGGAGAUCGGAAUUCCUGGUGUAGCGGUGAAAUGCGCAGAUAUCAGGAGGAACACCGGUGGCGAAGGCGGAUCUCUGGGCCUUACCUGACGCUCAGGCGCGAAAGCUAGGGGAGCGAACUGG
rnacentral:rRNA from 1 species